rnacentral:lncRNA from 1 species
UGAGGGGAACUGAAUCGCUGGGAAGUGGCUGCCAUGAUUGAUAUUAGCUCCCUUGUUUGUCAUGUUGUCUUGUUGAUGAUGGCGCCUCCACUAGCAACAUUAAACAUCCUUCUUUAUGAGAGUAGUAGCCUUUCGUAUAAAUAAUGUAUCAAAGACUGAUAUGAUAUAUCGUGUUGUGGACAGCUUGCGCAUAAUCGUUUAGACCUCCCCUAAUAAUCGUGCAACCUCUCAGAAUCUCUUUGACAAGUCCCAUAUAUUUCUUUUCUAAUGUCGGUUGCCCGAGAUGCUGGGAAGAAACGAUCUAGGAAGGCCUUUACCAUCUCUGCCCAAG